AACGAACGCUGGCGGCAGGCUUAACACAUGCAAGUCGAACGCACCUUCGGGUGAGUGGCAGACGGGUGAGUAACGCGUGGGAACCUUCCCUGUGGUACGGAAUAGCUCCGGGAAGCUGGAAUUAAUACCGUAUACGCCCUUUUGGGGAAAGAUUUAUCGCCAUAGGAUGGGCCCGCGUCGGAUUAGCUUGUUGGUAGGGUAAUGGCCUACCAAGGCAACGAUCCGUAGCUGGUCUUAGAGGAUGAUCAGCCACACUGGGACUGAGACACGGCCCAGACUCCUACGGGAGGCAGCAGUGGGGAAUAUUGGACAAUGGGCGAAAGCCUGAUCCAGCCAUGCCGCGUGAGUGACGAAGGCCUUAGGGUUGUAAAACUCUUUUGGCGGGGACGAUAAUGACGGUACCCGCAGAAUAAGCCCCGGCUAACUUCGUG
rnacentral:rRNA from 1 species